CCACAGAUUUGCAAGACAUGAAACCAGCACUGCCGUCUUUUCCUUCCACUUAUUAUUUUGCAUCCCGCCUUUGAUGGGUUUCCUUAUAUUCCUGUUCCACACUUUCAAGUACAUGAUUGAAUCAUCUAGUCAGGCAUAUAUUCAAUGGAUGAAAGUGGUGAUGGAGAAUCGGAGGGAUAAAGAGCCUCAACCCUUGGCUUUCUGAAGCUGCUGCCUGCAACUUCAAUUCAU